CCUACGGGUGGCAGCAGUGGGGAAUAUUGGGCAAUGGGCGCAAGCCUGACCCAGCAAUGCCGCGUGAAGGAAGAAGGCUUUCGGGUUGUAAACUUCUUUGACGGGGAAGAGCAGAAGACGGUACCCUGAAAACAAGCCACGGCUAACUCCGUGCCAGCAGCAGCGGUAAUACGUAGGGGGCAAGCGUUGUCCGGAUUUACUGGGUGAAAGGGGCGGGUAGCCGGGAAGGCAAGUCAGAUGUGAAAGCUGGAGGCUCAACCUCCAAAUUGCAUUUGAAACUGUUUUUGUUGAGUACUGGAGAGGCAGGCGGAAUUCCUGGUGUAGCGGUGAAAGGCGGAGAGAUAAGGAGGAACACCAGUGGCGAAGGCGGGCUGCUGGACAGCAACUGACGGUGAGGCGCGAAAGCGUGGGGAGCAAACAGGAUUAGAUACCCGAGUAGUC
rnacentral:rRNA from 1 species